rnacentral:rRNA from 1 species
UGGGAAUAUUGCGCACUGGCGGAAACCCUGACGCAGCAAUACCGCGGGAGUGAAGAAGGCUGUCGGAUCGUAAAGCCCUGUCAUUGGGGAAGAAAAAAAGAAGGUACCCCAGAAGAAAGGACAGGCGAACUUCGUGCUAGCAGCCGCGGUAAUACGUAGGGGACAAGCGUUGUCCGGAUUUACUGGGCGUAAAGGGCACGCAGGCGGUUUUUUAAGUCAGAUGUGAAAGGUACCGGCUCAACCGGUGACAUGCAUUUGAAACUGAAAGACUUGAGUAUUGGAGAGGCAAGUGGAAUUCCUAGUGUAGCGGUGAAAUGCGUAGAUAUUAGGAGGAACACCGGUGGCGAAGGCGGCUUGCUGGACAAAUACUGGCGCUGAGGUGCGAAAGCGUGGGGAGCAAACA